AUUGAACGCUGGCGGCGUGCCUAACACAUGCAAGUCGAGCGAAUGAAGGGAGCUUGCUCCUGGAUUUAGCGGCGCACGGGUGAGUAACACGUGGAUAAUCUACCCUUCGAUUUGGGAUACCAGUUGGAAACGACUGUUAAUACCGGAUACGAUCCUUUUUUAUAGAUUGGAUGAAAGGCGGUGCAAGCUGUCGUCGAGGGAUGAGUCCGCGUCUCAUUAGCUAGUUGGUGGGGUAAUGGCCUACCAAGGCAGUGAUGAGUAGCCGGCCUGAGAGGGUGAACGGCCACACUGGGACUGGAACACGGCCCAGACUCCUACGGGAGGCAGCAGUGGGGAAUAUUGCGCAAUGGGCGAAAGCCUGACGCAGCGACGCCGCGUGAGGGAUGAAGGCCUUCGGUCGUAAACC
rnacentral:rRNA from 1 species